rnacentral:lncRNA from 1 species
AGCGGGUUAUGGAAGGCUCACUAUUACUAAGCCCACCUCACGAUGAUAUGAUGUCGGCUAGCAAAAUAAUAAUGAGAGGGUACAAUUACCCAUUCACAACAACCUCUUGUGAUUACCCAUCUAUUUGGCCUCUAGAGAACAAUGCCUCACAAUGAUAUGAUGUCGGCACCAUUUCUCUUAGUUAAGUUUUGUCCUACCAUGCCGGUUUAGAUAGGGGUCCAAGUAUGACCUCACGAUAAUACGAUGUUCGCCACACUCGUUGCCUACCUUAACCACAUCAAAUGUUUAAAUAGACUCCUCUUGAGUAUAAGCACGCACUUUGCACUCCCCCAUGAUAGGGUGAAGGCGGUGUACGAGUCAUAAACGAUUGGAGCCUACCAUGGUGGAAGGCCAAGAAGAAGUGUUCAAUAGCACCUCUCCACUUUCAACUUAAUAUUGUAUGUUGGUUGAGGGAUUUUAAGGUCUCAUCAUUUUUAUUUAUUUAAUCACAUUAAAAUAAAUUGUGUCCUAUAAUAACUACUAGUCCAAAGUUAAUGAAAUAGUAGCAUAUGAUAUCCCCACUAUUCAUUUUCAUAAAACAAAUCAAUAUCAAAACAUUUUUCAAAAUAUUGGAGAUAUAUAUAACUACUAAUUGUGUUCAUUAUAGUUUAGUAGCAUAUGAUACUCCCACUAUUUGUUUUGAGAAAAACAAAUUAAUAUCAAAAACAAAUUUUUCAAAUAUUGGAAGUAACUACUACUACUAUGGUUUUUGCAUUCCUUUGAAAUUGGACUUUAUAGUUAUCUUAGGCUCUUUGGAUGACCAUGGACUUAUUGGGUUAAUUCAACAACGAGCCAACAUUGUUGAAUAAGAUCUAGGGAAGGUUGUGUCAAAAACAUUUUCAUUGAGCCUUUAGAAAUGAAAGACAAUCAUUCAUUGCUAAUUAGGGCGUUGGACCCAAUUAAUCUUUAAUCUCAUGUCAAAAACCCUCUUUUAAUCAUGUCUCCUUACCAAUAGUUAAAGAAACUCUAGUCUAGUACUAGAGGGAAUCAACUAAUUGAAAGAGAUUAAGAAGUAAUAAGAAUUACAAACCGAUUUGUACAAAUUCCUACAAAUUACAUAUACUAAGAGGGAGAGAAAGAUUAAUGUCUAUCAUGACAAGGUCCAAUUGAAAUAGUAAUUAAAACACAUUCCCAAGGUUCAAACAAUUUGAGUUUAGCGCCUUUCUCAUAGCUCAAUUAUCGUUUAAGGCAUAAGUUCAUAGUCAACCAUUUUCUAACUACUUAAUCACAUUAAAUAAUUAAUUGGAAUGCAACAUAAACAAUUAGAUUUAGUGCAUAUGGGCAUAAUUGUAUGAUGAGUUUAAACAACUAACAAAAUUAAAAUCAAAUAUUUUAACUUUUUAGAGAGAUGGGGCCUAAUAUGCAAAUAUAAAAAGUUAUGGGUCAAACCGUAAAUACUAGAAAGUAUAAUCAACUUUUAAAAUUGCAAAAUAGCCCCACAUGUAGCUAAUCCACUAGGGUGGCUGGUUAUGUGAUGGGGGAGGGGGAGUGUGUCAUACAUGUCCCCUAAGUUUCAAAAUAAAGCAAAGGCCUAGCAUUCACAUUGACACCCACUUGCACAAGUUGUUACCCACUUGCACAAGUUGGCUUAAAAGGUGUAAGGGUGUAAGGUUUCCUAGUCAAGUUUAGGAUUGAGUCAAUCAAAAUGAAAGGCUAUUGAUGGCAAGUAUACCAUCUAAAUUCAAAUAAUGAAGUGUGAACACAAAACAAAACCUCUUACACCAAAACCAAAACCAUGAACACCAAGAACAAAACCAUGAAAACAAUUUCAAGAUUUGUACUUUCUUGGUGACUUUAUCAAACCAAAAAACAAAAGUGACAAGGCCUUUACUUUCUAGCUUCAAAGUGUGUGUGUGUGACUUAAAAUAAAACACAACACAAGCCAAAAACUUCCCCCAAAACCGUGCCCUCCCCUAUGGAAUUUUAGCCCUAGAUUUUGUUCCAAAACUCAAUCUUCAUUCAUGCAUCCAAAACACUUUUUGCAUGCAUAUCUUUUUCAACUCUUGAUUCACAUUUUUCAACAUUUGAAAAACAAAAGAUAAACAAAUUUUGAAUGAAGAAAUAAUAUGUCAAACAUAAAAUUAAAACCCAUAUGCAUAAAAUCCAAAAGGACACAUCAAAUAUAAACCUUUGGCUCUUGAUACCACUUGAAGGGAAAUAAUGAGAUUUAUGUGGGAUUUCUAGUGACUAGCAUGCAUAUACAAUUCAAAAUUUAUAUACAUAAGCAACGGAAGCAUGUUAUCACAUAAUAUCAAAGCUAUAGUCAUGCAAAUCCCCUUCAAGAAGCAUAGGUCCAUAUUUGAUGCAUCUAAGAAAUUAUUGAAGAACAAAGUGAAGGUAUAGUUUUAUACCUCUUGAUCUAGACUUGAGACCAAGGAUAGACCACCUCCAAGCCCUUUGUUGUUGGAACUCCUUGAGCCUAGCCUCCCUCCUUGCUUCCUCCACUUUGCUAGAAUGAGUGCUCCUUGGUUCUCCUUUAGUCUCCAAGAUUGAAGACCUCUAAAGAUCCACACCCACUAGUGUAGUGAGAUGGAUGGAGGAAUAACCAAAAGGGAGAGAAGAUGAUUAGCUAAAAUCUCCCCUAUGGUGGCCAGCCUUUGUGUUUGAGAGAGAGAGAGAUAUGUUUUCUCCUUUUGUUAAAUCAACACACAAAAAACCCUAAAAUGAAACUUUUCACUAUAAAGUUCCUUUUAUAACACAAAGAAACAAGUCAACAACUUGACUUUCUCUCUCCCUCUCUUUGGCUGGCCCUUUGUGUUUUGUUUUGGGCUUUGGGCUUUUAUCAUUUCAAGUCAUCCUAUGCUUGAAUAAAAGCCCAAUGGGUUUAGGUUCAAUGGGCCCAAAUAAACCCGAACUUUUCUUUAAGCCCAAAACGAUCUUUUAUCGCUUUUAUGAUUUCUUUAGGCUUUCUAAUUAAUCACAAAACUUAAUUAAUCCAAUUAAUUAUUUCCAUCAUCCAUUAGUUGUCUCACUACAAGAGUGUAUUGGUGUACAAUUAUUUUAGGUUCUAAUUAGCAAGGCAGUGAAGUGAUUGGCACCAAUCCAAUUGAUUAUAUUUAAUCCAAUCACUUAGUGAAUUAAAACUUACUUUUAAUUCUC